GCUUCUUAGCUAGCUGCCUCUGCAGUUCAACAUCGUCUGGAAGCUCCCACCUGUUUCCGUACCUGCAGAUCUGUUCUCCUCUUCCUGCAAAAAGCACUAUUUUGAUGUUCUGACUGUUCUGAAUAGUACACCCUGCUACUUGGGAAACAGCAAAAUGCCAGUCCUUUCAUGUGAUACUAUGUAGGCAAUAAGGGUCCUUUGUGAGGCUUGAAAUCCCAUCACGCAUCAUCAUCACAAAGCUAUUGUCGAAGGAAUACCAUGAGAAAACUGGUUAUGAUCUAACAAUUAAUUUGGGUGCCUAAUGAAUGAGAACUUCUGCCUUGAACAUAAAGCUCCAUUGAAUUCCUUGAUGUAACAGGAAAAUUAAGAAGUUCUGGUAGAAGGAAUUUGUUUAAUGUAAUACCUGGUAAACCAACAGUCAUGUAGGAAGGGGGUUAUAAGCAUAGGAGUUAUCAAUGUGUAUAGCAGCAACUUCUCGGAGCCACAGUGAUCCUCGGUUGUUUCAAAUUCCUUGAAGAGCUAUCUCUCUUUAUGAACACUACAUUGUUUACAUCCCAAGAAUGUUUAGAUCUAUGCCACUGAAUUUAGAUAUAUGAGCCAUAAUAUUGCCUGGUUAGACCCAAAAAAAUGCAGUUGUACGUUCAUCUAGACUGGUUAACUUACCACUUUGUUUUCUAAGGUGUGAAUCUGAAGACCUGCAUGACCAACAGUCCUAGAGUUUGUUCUAGAUUUGAGAAGGCUUUUAAAAAAACUUGUUAAUCAGAGGUGAGCAAAUGAAUUGUCAGUCAAAUAUUUGUACCACUCAGCAAAUUUAAUGUUUUGAUUUUUAUCUAACUUAAACAGCCACUGUUGAGCAUUCUGCAGAAGCUAAUACAUUGUGUUUGUAUUGGAAACUGAAUUAGAAGGUAGCAUUGUCUCUAUAAAAGCCCAAAUAAGCCAAUGACAAAUCCUGAAUGCACUUUUUACACAGAGCAUAAAAUUCACACACUCAAAACUGAUUGAUUAAUCAAACCCAAAAAGUACUGUAUGAAUGCAAGUGUGGAAAACUAGUGUGCAGUAUUUUUUCCAUAUGCAAAAUGAAUUGAAAAUUGUUUAUAAAUCCAUAGUUUAACGGUUUUAAUAUAUGUCUUGAAAUAUGUGGAUGGGAGAAGGUUUACAUGAUCAGUAUAUAUUAGUUAAUAGUGAAAUGACUGAACAAAAUGGAAGGUUUUAUCCCACCCUGUUUUGCCCCCCACAUUCUGUCCCAUCCCAUACCCCUAAAAAAAAAAAAAAAAAAGGUAAUCUGAAGUGUUCUGGAGAAAAUCAACAGGCACCUUGGAAAAAGUUGAAGGACACAGAUAUAACUUUCGUUUUCAAUUAUACAACUUUUAUUUUGGUAGAGCAAGUGUAUUUCACUGAUAAGGAUGACUUUUAAAAUAUAAUUGAAUAUUUAACUUUUAGUAUAUGCAUAAGAUGGUUUAUUAUUCCUUCCCAUCCAUAAUAUAGAGCAUUUUACAUCAGGAUUACAUUUUUUCAGACCAGGUCUUUUAUAAUCAAACUUGUUUCACAGUUUAAUCUUAUCAUUAUAUUGCAGACCAAUACUCUUAACAGUUUUAUUGUUAAUCAAAAGUUGGCAAGAUUCCGUAUCAUGUAGCUUUUCCUUGCUUCAAAAACACAAUAUCCUGAACCAAAAAAUGAAAAAUGAAAAAAAAAAAUAAAAAUGUGCUCUAAUAUUAACAGUUAUUCUAAUAGUAAAUAAAUAAAUAAAUAAAACAUGAUGAGAUGUGGUGAAAAAUAUCUCUAGUAAUCUUACUGAAGGUUAUGAAAUUCAGUGACUUGUGGAAAUGUUAUUUGUAGUUCAUUUUAUUGGAUAACUAAACUUGCAUAUUAGAUUGGUGUGAGAUGAUAAUCCCUUCACUAUGAAGCUUUUUGCUGCAUUUGAUUUUAUGGCUAACUAUUAAAAUCAAUAAUACUGAAAACUAAACUAACAAACACAGAGGCAAAAUUUAUUCUACUAUAUCAAUUUUGAUAUUCUUGUUUGUCUGCUCUGUUAUUCUUUCUACAAUAGAAUAUUACUGUUUUUAAUGUUUGCAGAUGAAUUUGGAGGAAGGAAUUUAUAAUAGGUGGAUAGAUUUGCAAUACAAA